rnacentral:lncRNA from 1 species
AUUCUUUUUCUCUCUCCCAUUUGUUUCAAAGAAAAAAAACAUUUGUUUAGAUUAUAUUUUCUUAGAGGGAAAGAAAUGUUACCAAGCCACAAAGUUCGCAUUCAUCACAAAUUUAUUGUAAAUAGCAGUUAUACACCUCAUCAUAAUUCCAACCGGAACGACAUAAGCCGGAGCAUUCUCUCAUCUAAAGUCGAAGUAAGAACAAACAAACAUAGAAGAAUAAUGGUCAACUGGCGAACCGAAAGACACGCAGGUGGUGGAGAAAGAAAAAAGAAGGUAAAAGAAUGUAAUCAGGGGAUCAUCUUUCUGAAAGGGGAAGGGAAAAGUUUUGCGAGAGAGAACCAUCAAGAGAGG